rnacentral:rRNA from 1 species
CCUACGGGAGGCUGCAGUGGGGAAUAUUGGGCAAUGGAGGAAACUCUGACCCAGCAACGCCGCGUGAAUGAUGAAGGUCUUCGGAUUGUAAAGUUCUUUUCUAAGGGAAGCAGAAAGUGACGGUACCUUAGGAAUAAGCUCCGGCUAACUACGUGCCAGCAGCCGCGGUAAUACGUAGGGGGCAGGCGUUAUCCGGAUUCACUGGGUGUAAAGGGAGCGUAGACGGCUAGGCAAGCCUGGAGUGAAAGUCCGGGGCCCAACCCCGGGACUGCUGUGGGAACUGGCCGGCUGGAGUGCGGGGGAGGCAGGCGGAAUGCCUGGUGUAGCGGUGAAAUGCGUAGAUAGCAGGAGGAACACCGGCGGCGAAGGCGGCCUGUUGGACCGCGACUGACGUUGAGGCUCGAAAGCGUGGGUAGCGAACAGGAUUAGAUACCCGGGUAGUC